CCUACGGGGGGCAGCAGUGGGGAAUAUUGGACAAUGGGGGCAACCCUGAUCCAGCCAUGCCGCGUGUGUGAAGAAGGCCCUCGGGUUGUAAAGCACUUUCAGUGAGGAAGAACGCCUGGUGGUUAAUACCCAUCAGGAAAGACAUCACUCACAGAAGAAGCACCGGCUAACUCCGUGCCAGCAGCCCCGGUAAUACGGAGGGUGCGAGCGUUAAUCGGAAUUACUGGGCGUAAAGCGCGCGUAGGUGGCUUGAUAAGCCGGUUGUGAAAGCCCCGGGCUCAACCUGGGAACGGCAUCCGGAACUGUCAAGCUAGAGUGCAGGAGAGGAAGGUAGAAUUCCCGGUGUAGCGGUGAAAUGCGUAGAGAUCGGGAGGAAUACCAGUGGCGAAGGCGGCCUUCUGGACUGACACUGACACUGAGGUGCGAAAGCGUGGGUAGCAAACAGGAUUAGAUACCCUAGUAGUC
rnacentral:rRNA from 1 species